UAGCGGUGAAAUGCUUAGAUAUCACGAAGAACUCCGAUUGCGAAGGCAGCCUGCUAAGCUGCAACUGACAUUGAGGCUCGAAAGUGUGGGUAUCAAACAGGAUUAGAUACCCUGGUAGUCCACACGGUAAACGAUGAAUACUCGCUGUUUGCGAUAUACAGCAAGCGGCCAAGCGAAAGCGUUAAGUAUUCCACCUGGGGAGUACGCCGGCAACGGUGAAACUCAAAGGAAUUGACGGGGGCCCGCACAAGCGGAGGAACAUGUGGUUUAAUUCGAUGAUACGCGAGGAACCUUACCCGGGCUUAAAUUGCAGAUGAAUUACGGUGAAAGCCGUAAGCCGCAAGGCAUCUGUGAAGGUGCUGCAUGGUUGUCGUCAGCUCGUGCCGUGAGGUGUCGGCUUAAGUGCCAUAACGAGCGCAACCCUUGUUGUCAGUUACUAACAGGUUCCGCUGAGGACUCUGACAAGACUGCCAUCGUAAGAUGUGAGGAAGGUGGGGAUGACGUCAAAUCAGCACGGCCCUUACGUCCGGGGCUACACACGUGUUACAAUGGGGGGUACAGAGGGCCGCUACCACGCGAGUGGAUGCCAAUCCCAAAAACCUCUCUCAGUUCGGACUGGAGUCUGCAACCCGACUCCACGAAGCUGGAUUCGCUAGUAAUCGCGCAUCAGCCACGGCGCGGUGAAUACGUUCCCGGGCCUUGUACACACCGCCCGUCAAGCCAUG
rnacentral:rRNA from 1 species